CACCCCUGCCGCGCGGUUCUCGGGCAGUCGGCGCAAGUCUCAACCGGCUCGGAACGAGAGGCACCUGCCCGUCCGCCAGCCUCAAAACAGCGCGCGGUGCCGCUCCCGGGAUACCUGGGUUCCCGCUGGUCCUGCCACGACCCCCGGGGCGCUCCUCGCUGCGGCCUUAUUAGGAGGCGGCCCCCGCAGGGAGCAGGAAGCAGAAAGUCUCUGCAAACCCUUCCAGAGGGCGGACGACGGUGGAGUGCUGAAUUAUACCCAUAUGGCCAACAGAUGGGGACCCUGGGCUGCAGGAGCUGUAGGCCCCCCCGGGAGAACCUCUCUUCUCUGCCCUGCGCGGGCUCUUGAGGACCGUGGUCAAAGGAGCCCAAGUCUUGCAUCGCGGCAUCCUGACACACACUCAUUGGCCCCAUGAAGUCGGGGGCGCUGAUUGAGAAGCAUUAUGAUGAGGUCACUGCCAGCCGUGAAUGCGCUCUCUGCGUGCCAGGAACGACCGCAUCCUGUUCCACGUCCUGGAACUGCUGGGCUCAGGUGUGCAGCCCCGUGGCCAGAAUAAUGCCUGCCCCAUCACAAAAGAGUCGGCUUCCAUCUUUCCUCUUGCUGACGGAGUCGUUUGGGGCUGGAUGUGCUCAGAGGAGGUAAGCUCACGAACUGCUCCACAAAUGUAUCGGCUAGACUGUGGGCUAAGCUGCUAUAACAAAGAGACCCCCAAACACCGUGGCCCAAAUGUGUAAAACUUGAUUCCUCUCUCAUUAACAGAGGUCAUAAGGUAAAGAUAGGAGGUGGGCGAGCAGCCCUGCUGUAUGAAACCUCAACUUUCCACAUCCUGCUCGUCUUCAAGGCCAGCUCUGGGCCCAGCACCCUCGGGGACCCUGGGCCCCUCUGGUCCACAGGGUGAGCUCCCUUCAGAGGACACAGCACACACGGCCAUGCAGGGCUGGGUGACCUGGCAGGUGAGAAAGCUCUGCCUCCUCCACCCAAGUGGGGGCUCCUGGAGGUUAAGGGUCAUGUCUUCUUGGCUUUUAUCCCCAUGAUGUCAGCACAGGGGAGGCUCCCCGGGAGAGUUUUUCCCCCAGCAUGCCUGGGAACUGCCGUCAGCCACCAUCAUGAAAGCUGAGGUGUUUGCUUGUCAUCACUUACAUAUUUUCAGCUUAAAUACCAUACAGUUUCUUCGUAUCUUCCAAUGAAUGAAAGGAAAAAAAUGUAUAUGGGGGGGUGUGAAAAUUAACUCAUAAAAAUCCUUGACUUACCAAAAAAAUUCAAGAAAUGUGCUUCAUACACACAGAUGUGGCAAUUGGGAUGCUCCUUUCAUGUGCAGGAGCCCCAGGAUGGAAGGGCUGCCAGGCGUACCGAGGGAAGUAUUUCUCAUCUCUGUAAAGUUGAUAGAAUCUAAUUUCUUAGUGGAGAAACUUGCUGCGGUUGUUAGUUUGUGGUAACUGCCCCUCUUUAACUGGUUUAUGGCUGAUCCCAAUCCCAAAGAGCAGUAUAAUUCAGUUAUCUACGAUGGUGUGGAAGGCACAAUUUGUGCAUUAAAGGGCAAAAGCACACUGUUCAGGUGGGCUGGCCCUUGGGAGCCCUCCUGAGAUAUUUCACAGCGGGUAUGAGUAGGUGGGGGAGGACAUAUUUUGUUUCACCUGCUUAAAAUGUUUUCAGACCAAUAACCUUGUGGCCAUUCUCUGUGUUAGAUCCAAUUUCAAGCUCUUUCUUCUGGAGCAUCUUGGUCCUGUCCACUGCUGCUCCUUUAGUCUACUUCUGCAGUGAGUGGGGUAUUGUGUAUCCUUUCCUGGCACUGGAACAUUUAUAAAUGUAGCAAGCCUUCCUCUGCUUUGGCUGCUGGCUAAAUCCUAUGACUCUACACCUAACCAACCUCAUAAAUAGGGAGGCCUCGUACCGUUGUGCAGGUUGCACACUGCACAACUCCAAGGAGUGCCAUUUACAUGGACCACAAUGGAACCUCCAGAGCUGUAUUAGGACGACCUGCACAAUACUCCAGUAAAGCCCCAUCUCAUAAAUUUCUCUACAUGCCAAGGGCUCUCUUCUAAAUACCACCCUGACAAAACAGACAAAAUUCCUACCCCCAGGAAGCUUACAUUCUAGUGGGGGGAAAUACAUAAUAAACAAAUUACAGAUGCCUAUGUGUAAUAUUAUGUCACACAUAUAAUAUUACAUAUGUACAUACAGCACUACAUAUGUGCAUAUAUAAUAUUACAUGUAUAUGUAAUUAUGUAUAAUAUAUUAGUGGUGAUAAAGAAGUAGAAAAUAAAUCAGGGAAGGGGAAGAGAGUGGCGGAGGUGAAUUUUAGAGAGCAGAGAUCUGGGAAGGACUUUCUGAGAAGAUGCCAUUUGUGCGAAGCCUGAAGAGUGAGGAAUGUGCUGUGUUCCCUGGGGGAAGGACACUCCACACAGAAGGAACAGCACGUGCAAAGGCCCUGAGGCAGGAGUGUGACCAGUGCUGAAGAAGCGGCAGGGAGGCUGGUGUGGCUACAAUGGGGUCAGAGGGAUAGUGACGUGGUCAGAUGGAUCCCGAAGCGGGGCCACUUCAGACUUUGGAGGCUGUGAUGUACUUGGAGCUUACUCUGCAUCAGAUGAGAAGCCAUCCAAGGGUUUUGAGUAGAGGAGUGGCAAAAUUUCAAAAAAAUCACCCUGACCAACAAGUUGAGAUCAGACAAAGGAUACAGAGGAGGAAGCAGGAGACCAAUUAGGAGCAAUUGGGGGGAUUCCGAGGUGACGGUGCCCUGAGCCAGCUUGGUGGUGGGAGCAGGUGAGAAAGGCUCUUUUUUUUUAGACUGGCUGGUGAGGCUGGAGGGAGGGGACCCAUGUCGGGGUCAAGGUUAGGGAGGUGGGCAGGGGCAGGGCAGUCCAGGUUGAGUCUUGCCCCCACGUUGCAGGAACAUUGGGUUUGAUUUCCCAGCAGGGGGGCUGAGAUUUAUCCUGACUGCCGAGUGCAGCAGGGCUGCUGGCAUGAGGGGUGUCCCGGGCAUGGGGAACAAGAUGCUGGGAGACUGGAUCAGGUCAGAAAUGGUGCAAGUGGGAGAUUUGCUCGGUUGUGCUCUGAAGGCCUUGCUGACGGACUGAAGGAAGGAAGAGGAAAGUCAAGGCGGACUCCUGGGUUGUGGCUUGAGCAACGGAAUGGAUGUUGGUUCUGGUUAUGAGAAGCGGAAAACUGGAAGAGAACCAGCCAGGUUUGGGGGAGAAACAAGGGGUUCCACUACGACCAUGACAUAAGACGAUGUUAAAUGGGAGAUGCCUAUUAGUCACUUGGCGCUUCUGUGUGUAAUCUACAAAGGAAGUCACACAUUCAUUCAAUUACUAUUUGUCGAAUGAGUAAGUGGGUGCCAGCCCUUCUGGAUGAGGGAGGCUAGACUGGGAGUCAAAGAUGGCAAUUCAGAGUGAUGAUGCUAACACGACCCCAGGGGAAGCUGUCCCACCCCUGUUACUGUCACCGGUCGUACCAGCCAUUGGCAGAGGAGCUGGGCUGGGAACAAAGAUCGCUCUGCUAUAGGCAAAGGGUCUGCGUGGAGGAGAGACGGCAGGACCCAUGUGCCCAGGCCGGGACUGAACCCAAGUCCUCGUGGGUACCAGUCCAUGUGGAUUCGUUUCCGCUGCACCACAGCAGGAACUCCUAUCUGUCUUUUUAAUUUUAGCCAUCCCAGUGUAUGUGAAGUGGUAUCUCAUGGCAGUUUUGAUUUGUGUUGUCUUAGUGACUAAUGAUGUUUUGCUUCUGUCAGUUUCAGCCUCUGAAGGAUGUGGGGUCCCCAGACCAGGACAUGAUGGUAAUUAGAAUAGUGCUGUCGACGCCUUCCCUUCAAGCCUAAAGAGGUGCAGGUUUUAUCAGAGUAGGAGCCAACAGGUAGGCUCUUUCCGCAACACGUGUGGUUUUUGCCUGAGAGCCUGGCAGUGGAAGUGAACGCCUCCCCCCAAAAACAGUUUAAAAAUUAUUUUCACACACUAAACAAGUAGCUGAAGAAAAAAAUAAACUAACGUGGAUAAAAGAGAAACUCUACCGGAAGAGAUUUUAUUAUUUAAAUACUUGCUAGGAUGAUUUUCAAGGAGCCCAGACUCUUGCAUCGCCCCAAGCAUAGAAAAGCACUAAAAUCAUUAAUGUCAGACGUCUGAUUUCUUUUAAUUAGUGAUAAUCUUUUGAGGUUUGACAACAUUUUUUCAUUUUGUUUUGUUUUUCAGCAAAAACUCAUAUAAGCCUAGUUCCUCCCUUAGCUUGUUGCAAGAGUCCCUUCGAUGUUUCCAUGAGGCUAUAUCCCAGGCUCUAGUCCUCAGAGAUUCCCCAGAUAAAACACAGUUCUCAACUCUGAGGUUGGGCAUUUUUUCUUUUCCGUCGACACCCAGGACAUCCACUGGUCCUGUACUAUCCGAGAGAAACAGGCACUUUCUUAGAUCUGGGAGUUAAACUUCCUUCAGAGACAUCUCAUGGCAACUACCUCACGCACGGACUGUUUCCUGCCUGCUGGGGGUUUUAUUGGGAGCCCUCUGUUGCACAAUCACAAGAAUUUCAGUGUUCCCAGCCUGCAGUUCUGGGAUUAGAGGGUGCAGUUCUGGGAUUAGAGGGCUAAGUUCCUGGGGCCCUGGAAGGAAAAUCUAGCACUAGGAUUCUCUAAAGCCUAAACUUGAUGGGAAAUGGGUUUGAUGUUCACUUAGUGUGCAAACCAGGAAUUCCCUAAAAAUGACAUUGCGAGUCUAGUGGGAAUCCUACCAACAUGUUCGGGGAGGUUCCAGAACUUUCAUCAUUGUUUGGGAAAUGGGAUUCCAAUCUUGAAUGCCUCCUUCCCAGGCUCAUUCUUUCAUCCUGUAUCAUGAUGCCUGACUCUGCUUUUUAGAGCUUAUAGCAGGAGACAUCUCCCACCACGGCAGAUUUUUAAAAAAGAAGUUUGCAGUUGUUUACACAUACCCUGUUCUCUGGGGAACUUGGGUCAGGAUCCGAUUGUAGACCAGUUUUGUGCUCUGGGAGCAGCCAGCUGGAGAGACAGUUAAAGAAGAGAGAGGAGAAGCAGCAGCUAAAGGCAGGCUUUGUACAUUUUGUAAACAGUCUGGCCUCUAUCACCUACAGCCCAUGUGGUCUGGGGCAAAUGACUUUCUAAGAACCUCCAUUUCCUCCUCUGAAAAACCAAGGUAAGGCUGCUUACUCACCACAAAGGGCUGAUAUGAGGCAUAUAUAAACCACCAAGAGAGCACUUGUUGUGCUCAGCGAUACCGAAGAGGCUGUGGUUGUUUUUGCUCUUCCCUCCAGCAGCGAGUGGAAUGCGCCUCUCCUUGUCUCAUCUGCCUCCUCCCAGACCCCCCACCCCAAACCCAGGGGAGAACUCCGGGCAUCCAGAAGGUGUUCCAGAACACUGUUCUUAGGUGAAACAAAUUCAGGUUUCCAGUUGAAUAAAAGAGACAAUAGAUGAGUGGAUUUGGUCGUGAAACAGAUAUGUACAGAGACCCUGUUAAUGUUCCAGACUGUUCUAGGCACAGAAGAAACAGCUGUGAAUGAAACAGACAAGAAUCCAUGCCCUCAUGGAGCUUCUCUGCUAGAAAGGAGAGAGAGACUCUAAAUAAAGAAAUCGCGGAAAUGGACGGUAACUGGAGGAAGGGCUAUGCCAAAAAUAAAUCGAGGAAGGAGAAGGCCAUUCCCGUCGUGGCUCAGCGGUUAACGAAUCCAACUAGGAACCAUGAGGUUGUGGGUUCGAUCCCUGCCCUUGGUCAGUGGGUUGACGAUCCGGCGUUGCCGUGAGCUGUGGUGUAGGUUGCAGACGCAGCUCGGAUCCCGCCUUGCUGUGGCUAUGGUGUAGGCCAGUGGCUACAACUGCGACUCGACCCCUAGCCUGGGAAUCUCCAUAUGCCUCUGGUGCGGCCCUAGAAAAAGGCAAAAAG
rnacentral:lncRNA from 1 species